AUAAUAGAGGCGCGGGAUUCAUAAGUAUCUUCUGGCAAGGACAGGCAUCCGUCGGAAGAGAAAGGGGAGACCGCCGAAGCCUGACAGGCAGCCUGAGCCUGAAGGGCUGGGACAGAGCAUAACAUGUUCUGGACUGUCACAAGGUACUUGUGGAGCGCUAUUG
rnacentral:ncRNA from 1 species